AUGCUGCUCUCCGUGCUGGAGCAGGCGUCGUCCAUAGCCAAUACACUGAGGCUGUACGUCUGACCACACAGCAGAUCCUCCAGACUACAGGUGGUGUCGUUGGACGUGCACUCCGUACGGUGGCCGCUGUUGCCCAUGGCGAUGGCAGUGUAGAUCUUGGCCCCACGGCUGGCAUCCCAGGUGACGGUUACAGGGCUCUCUCCACAGUCCAGUGUGUCCACGCUACAGCUGGUUGCCGUGGAGUUACAGGUCACCUGCUCUCUGUUGCCGUGGGAGAUGAUGGUGGUGUAACCUAACGCACGCAGCGAUGUGUCCCAGCUCACCGUCAGCGUUCCAGACCCACAAUCCAUCUCAGUUUGUACAUUGGCAGGCCCGCAUGGGACUGGAGAGAGAGAGAGAGAGUGAUGGAGAAAAGAGGAGGUGUGAACCACGCCAGCGUCAUCCAUUGCUGUGGCGAUGUAGAACAGAGAGCCGUAGGAAACCUGCCAGUUCAGAGUGAUGGAGUCGGAUCCACAGUACAUUGCUGCUGAAACGUUCUGAGGAGCGCAGGGAACUGCAGCGGGGAGGGAACAUUCAGUUGAGUGUGUGUGUGUGUGUGUGUGGUUUGGUACUAGUUAGUUACAAGGGUAGUGAAUGCCCCAGUUGAACAAUAUACACUGCUUAAUGGCUUUUCCCUUCAAAAUAAGCUUAUUGAGCCAGGUGUGAAAACCAUGCAUGAAAGUCACAUCAAUAUGGCUAAUGAAUUCAGUGGAGGGUAACGGCUAGAAAAAAUCAUGUGGAUUUAAUGUAUGUAAUUUACUGGCAGUGAAGAGUUGACCAUGUCUCACCUGUCUCAGCCACCCGUCCCAGAGUCCUGUAGCUGGGGCAGUUGUCAUCGAAAGCUGUGAUGUACAUGGUUAAACUCUCCCCACAAUGCACCGAGGGUAUGGCACAGGUGUUGGUGAAGGAGCUGCAGUUGUAGCGGUUGCUUUCAUCCUUGUUUCCCCAUGCCUCAACCGUGUAGGCCAGAGCCCCCUCAGCACUGUCCCAUGUGCUGGUCAGGACAUCAGACCGACAGUCGGCUGAGGAUAACAAGUUCUGAGGCAUACAGGGGGCUGGAGAGGGAUGAUAAAGAGUUGCUGUUAGUUGCUGUGUGAAUUUAAGUAUGCUCUCUCUAAUUCUUUCUUUCUUUCUCCUUCACGGAGGACCUGAGCCCUAGGAUCAUGCCUCAGGGCUACCUGGCCUGAUGACUCCUUGCUGUCCCCAGUCCACCUGGCCGUGCUGCUGCUCCAGUUUAAACUGUUCUGUCUGCGGCUAUGGAACCCUGACCUGUUCACCGGACGUGCUACCUGUCCCAGACCUGCUGUUUUCAACUCUCUAGAGACAGCAGGAGUGGUAGAGAUACUCUGAAUGAUCGGCUACGAAAAGCCAACUGACAUUUACUCCUGAGGUGCUGACCUGUUGCACCCUCGACAACCACUGUGAUUAUUAUUAUUUGACCCUGCUGGUCAUCUGUGAACAUUUGAACAUCUUGGCCAUGUUCUGUUAAUCUCUACCCAGCACAGCCAGAAGAGGACUGGCCACCCCUCAUAGCCUGAUUACUCUCUAGGUUUCUUCCUAGGUUCUGUCCUUUCUAGGGAGUUUUCCUAGCCACCGUGCUUCUACACCUGCAUUGCUUGCUGUUUGGGGUUUUAGGCUGGGUUUCUGUACAGCACUUUUUGAGAUAUCAGCUGAUGUAAGAAGGGUUUUAUAAAUCAAUUUGAUUUGAUUCCCACUCAAGUUAUUAUUAUUUCACAAGCAUUGUAGUUUUGUAAAUUACAAUCUUAGAAAGAAAGGUGGUAUCUACAAUCUAAAAGGGUUCUUUGGCUGUCAUCCUAGGUGAACCCUUUGAAUAAACCUGGUUGGUUCCAGGUAGAACCCUUUUGGGUUCCAUGUAGAAUGCUUUCGGAACCCUUUUUUCUAAGCGUGUACAUUAAAUUGUUGUCAAAAAAACAUGUUUCUUUAUUUUGCUA